AGGAAUCGCUCCCAGUCCCUAUGGGUGUCUGCGAAGGUUCGGAGCAUUUGUUUCAAUGUUCCAUUGAACCGUUCGCAUAGCCCAUUGGUCUGGGGAUGAUAUGGAGCACUGAUUAUAGGCUUGAUGUCACAGAAUCUCCAGAGGUGUUGGGUAACUUCCACAGUGAACUGGGUGCCUUGAUCCGAGAUGAUCUCCCUGGGUAACCCCAUCCUGGAGAAAACCUGCAUCAGGGCCUCAGCCAC